CAAUAGCGUAUAUUAAAGUUGUUGCAGUUAAAAAGCUCGUAGUUGGAUUUCUGGGAGGGUGCCGCCGUCCGGCGUGUCCGUGUGCAGUGGCGCCCUUCCAUCCUUCUGUUAGCGUCUCUUGGCAUUCAUUUGCUGGUGGCGGGCUCAGAUAUUUUACCUUGAGAAAAUUAGAGUGUUUCAGGCAGGCUAGGCCGGAAUACAUUAGCAUGGAAUAAUGGAAUAGGACUACGGUCUCUUUGUUGGUUUGAGGGACUGCAGUAAUGAUUAAUAGGGAUAGUUGGGGGCAUUAGUAUUUAAUUGCCAGAGGUGGAAUUCUCAGAUUUGUUAAAGACUAACUUAUGCGAAAGCAUUUGCCAAGGAUGUUUUCAUUA
rnacentral:rRNA from 1 species